rnacentral:tRNA from 3 species
GCGCCCGUAGAUCAAUUGGAUAGAUCGUCUGACUACGAAUCAGGAGGUUGGGAGUUCGAGUCUCUCCGGGCGCGCCA